AUGGACGGGGACGACGAGAAUGCGGGGCCCUUCCGUCGCACCAGCUCGCGGACGCGGCGGAUGGCCUCGCGCAUGGCUUCCGCCCUCUCCAGCUCCGACAACCGCGCUCAGGCUGCAUUAGCUCGUCUUGACGCUCUUGAGAGUGAUAAUGCUGGGGCUGAGGUGGUGGAUCUCAACGAUGAUGAGUAUGGAUCUACUGAUGAGGAGGACCAUGUUUUGAUGCAAAAGAAGCAGUCAAAGAACAUGAAACGCAAGACAAGGCAAGGAAAAGCUUUGGAGAAGAGGGCCGUAAGAUCUUUUAUGGAUGUGCUACAAGAGGCAAAUCUGGAGUCCUUGCCAUCUCAUGUCCCAACAUAUUUGAGGGCUGCUGUGGGUCUGCCAAGCACUUCAUCCCGACGCCAUUACUGCUCCGUCUGUGGGAGUUCUUCAAAUUAUACAUGCCCCCGGUGUGGGACACGGUUCUGUUCAUGCCGCUGCCAAGUCAUACACAACGAUACCCGCUGCCUGAAAUUUGUUGCUUAACCCAUCUACAAAUCUGUGGUGCCUAGACUAUGUCUAAUGCAGCUGUGGUGCCUAAUUGUUUGUGGUUUUAGCAGAAAGAAAUGCUUGUUGUACAUGUUGUGUAGGAGGUGAAAACCCCAAUGUGUGAAGAAAUUGCUGCAGCAGCAGCUAGCCAUGUCGUAGCCAGGUAGAUUCUUUUCCAGAAAAUGUUGCUGCAAGUAAGUUUCUCUCUUGUGUUCAACAGUAUCUGAAUGACAUUGAAGAUA